AACGUACUGCGAACCCUUAGAUGAUUACACCCUUACUUCUUCAUAAGAAGGUAGAGGGUCAACUGUGACUGUGUAUUUGAUGACAAAGAAACGCGCCUCCUCAAUAUACCGAGACCCAGAAGAGUCUUAGGACAAAAUAAAUAUCAGUUAUAUAUGUAUAUGGAAUAAGUAUUUACGUCCCAUUUUUCAUUGAUGUAGAGAUGUAUUUGAUGACAAAGCAACAACUCGCCUCCUCGAUAUACCGAGACCCAGAAGAGUCUUAGGACAAAAUAAAUAUCAGUUAUAUAUGUAUAUGGAAUAAGUAUUUACGUCCCAUUUUUCAUUGAUGUAGAGAUGUAUUUGAUGACAAAGCAACAACUCGCCUCCUCGAUAUACCGAGACCCGGGAGGGUCUUGGGACAAAAUAAAUAUCAGUUAUACAUGUAUAUGUAUAUGGAAUAAGUAUUUACGUCCCAUUUUUCAUUGAUGUAGAGAUGUCACCAUUCCCAACUUCAAAUAGGUGUUUAAAGCUCUGCACAAAUGUAGACCUGCGCUCAAACCAAUAGGCUACUACAUGUACACCAUAAUACACACCACAUUCUAGUUAGUCACAUAAACUGGUAGCCUCAAUAGUGGGAUUGCUUUCAACAAAUAUUGCACAUUGUUUAUUUUCUCUUGAUAAACCAGGUUAUUGUAAGGGUAUGAAUUUUUACCAUUGCAAGAGCCAUAACUCGUACUAGUUAUCUUGUAAGUAAUGGACUAGGCAUGCUCGAGUGUAACUUCCUUUUCCGGUCAGACAAAUUCUUUUGUGCAUUUCAACUCAAAACCACGAUAUCAGUUUUCAGCAAUGUUCAACAAGUGUUUAUCAAAUGAGAAGACUUAGUGUUAAUAUGGGCAAUAAAAUCAACAGUAGAAGACACAAACUGAAAUUGAAUUAACAAAUAUAUCAUUACCCGUCUGACCAGUAUACUGUAUCUUUACGGUAGGGCAGCAUGUCUAUUUUAACGCCCUAGGUUAGACGCUGCCAUGACACGAACGGUGCUCAAACUCACGACCUCCCGGUUACGCUCUACCACUGUGCUACCGCGAUCGGUUUAGUAGCACUGAAGUCGAACUCUGCUUGUAUGAUGACAUAAUGCCCGAAUAUAUGUUGAUCAACAUUUCACCGUUGCAGAAGUGAGGGUUCAUUUACGCGCCAGCUUUUGUCGUGACAUGGGACUUCUAUUUUUAAGGUAUUAUCUGAAGGACUCCAUACAAUAAGCCCACUCUCAUGUGACGUCGUAAGAUUUUUCAAAAUCAAUGCUUUCUUUAGAUUUAUGAACUAUAGGAAAGUGAAUUUUGUGAAAAUAUUUUCCGAUAGUUAUUGUAAAAAAUCUUGUUUGACAUAGAAUAUUUCAAACGUCUAAGUUGUAUAUGGUUAAUCAAUGAUUUGUUUCAAAAUUUUGAAUCCAACGGCAAUAACUCUGUUUCUGUUGAUUUCUUUAUCAAAUCCAUAAUGCGAUAUACUUUUCAGAGGCAUUUAUUUUUAUUUUUGUAAAGAAUCUGUUUCAUGAAAUUGUUAUGAAAACUAUUAUGUCUUUAUCACCAAUUUUUAUGAAAUUUGGAUAAGCUAGCUAUUCAACAGGUUGGGAACACUUUCCUUAUAGCGAGAUAUUCUCACUAAAAUGCGAUUAUCCCUCGUUAGCGAGAGAGUACACAUUACCAUAAACAGGUGUUUUGAUGGUUUUAUUGAAAAUAAUGGCAAAUUCCGUGCAAUGCUGAAUAAGUGCGAUACACACUCAACAUGAAACGAAUUGUCUCUAUAAAAUUGAGAACAUAGUCAAGAAAUUUCAUAUCAACGUUGCUGUUUAAUUAAAAGUCAGAAACUUAUCUGAUAUGUUGGUCACAUAUGCCAUUCAGAUUUGGGACGUCUUGUCUUCUUGCAUGUAGGUUUCAAACUUUGGCACUUUAAGAAGGGAGGGUUCCAAAUAUCAUGUCAAUCUGAUAGCAGCAUAUGGUAGGGCAUGAGUAACUGUAUUUGUGCAUCUGUGUUUUAAACUGUGUGUUGGGUUUUGGGACAGUCAAUUUGGGUUUUGGGAAAAAAAAUACUGUUGGCAUAUUCAUACACCCCUAAAAUGGUGCCUUGUUUUGCAGCAAUAAACUUGCUGGAACAGAUGCUGGACUUAGAUGCUGACACUCGUAUCACUGCCACGGAUGCCCUCGUUCACCCCUACCUGGCCCAGUACGCUUACCCUAGUGAUGAGCCCAGCGCUGAUGCCUAUGACCAGUCAUUUGAGGAGAUGGAACUCACGAUACCAGAAUGGAAAAGUUUGGAUGCUAAUCUAUCAACUUUUUAAAAUAUAGAUAAAGUUAAAGUUUACGAAGAAGUAUUGAAAUUCAAACCACAGUGAUGCCGGCAAUCUUAUUACUCGUCAAUCUCGUCCAUAGGUCUCUCUGUUCGGGCCUUUCUGCUCUAGACGUCAGGAAGUAAUAAUCAUCUAACUUCAGCGCGCGUUGUCUGGACCCCACAACACGUAUGUGAUGUGGAAGAAAACACUUUCAGAUGCAAUUUUCUUUCUUUGUGAAGUAUAGGUUAAUAUAUAGUAAAACUUGCAACAAAUGUUAGCUGAUAAGAAGACUUAAUAUGUGUAGUAAAACUUCACAACUGCUGCUGUAGACUAGGGGACGGCAAUUUAUACGACACAAGAUGGAAUCCUUUGCUAACGAAAUUUCAUAGAGUAUGUCAAAGCAUAUUGUUGUAUUUAUAUUUCAGUUGAGAAUUUUUCUUUCAAUCAUGCAAUAUCAAAUUCAUGUUAUAUUCAUACUGGGAUUUUAAAAUUUCAUCGUAGAUUUCAUUUAAGGAGGUAUACUACGACAUCAUAAUGGCUGACUUCCUUUUCAAUCAUGAAUGAAAAUAUAAAUAUCAGCAAUAUUUGUAUCUUUCUUUUAAAUGUAAUCGCCUAGCUGGGUAGCUCAGUUGGUUAAUGUGUCAACUGCUGAACUGUAGAUUGUGGGUUCAGGUCCAGCAGAGGUUUUAAAUUUUUUCUUAUUUCUUUCUACUAAAACUGCAUUUUUAAAAAAUAAAUAAAGUGAAUUUCAAACCUUUCCAUUUCAAAUUAUUAUUGUACAUAUCCCCCACUUUUCAUCCAUAUCAAAUUUCUAUGGUGUGUUAUUCCUCCUAUCAAGUGAAAGAAGAGAGAAAUUUAUUGAAAUAAGUAGGAAUGAUAUUUAAAAUUUCCUUUCACCUUGUACCAUAAACAAAUGCAAAAUAGUGUUUGGAAAAUUCAAAUUCGCUUAAAUUUGUAGCAAGUGUUCGUUUUCAGAAAUGCCAAACAUGUAUACACAACCAUGGUAACAAUUUUAUUUAUCUUAAAGAAAUUCUCGGUGACACUUUCUUCCCCAGCCGAUACAACAUAUUGUGUUCUAAUGCUUUAUACCUCUAUAGAAGAUACUGUGUCAAAUCAACAAGAAACGGAUUUCAAUAGUCAAGAAAAGAAAAUUGUUGAUGUUCAUAAUAGUAGUUCAUAACAGGCAUUUCAGAUGUCAGUGUUGUGCUGGUUAUUCACAGGCUGGUUUAGAAUAUCUGUAGAUCUAUAGGAAUACUGUCAUCUGAACUAUGAAGUGGAAGUUCUGUAUUUGACAAGUACCUAACAAGUAUUUUCAUUCCAGGUUUUUUCUCCCCCCUUUUAAUUUCAUUAUUUGCUCUUGGGAGGGGGGGGGGAUUAAAAAAAAUUGUUGUGAUGUUUGUUACAUUGACUUCCAUUUUAAAAAAGAUGAAAUUUGAAAAAUGUCAUGUUGCUCAGAGUCGUGUGAAAAAUUUAAAUUCAUGAAAUUUAAUUAUUAUAUGAAUAUAUGUGAAUUGGAAUGAUAUUCUAAAUGUGUAAUUUAAUGCAGUGUGUGACACCUACAGAAUAUGAGAUAUAUGGACACACGAUUGUUAUUUUAUAUGAAAAGGCAAAGAUAAUGUUUUGUCACCAUACAUGUAUAAAAUAUGAUUAAUAAUAAUGCUGGUAUCUUUAUGUCAUAAUGUAUCGAUAGAGGAAGUGAAGCAAUACAAUCCUCUGUAUUUACUGAUCAACAUACUGGUACACUGAUAUUUAAUGUGACCCAAGAUAAGUUCAAUAUGCAAAAUCGUGUCUAGAUGACGAAGAGCACCGGGUGUAUGUCUGUAAUGCAGGACCUCAUUAUACCAGUGGACAGGUUUAUAUGAUUAUUUUGUUCCUCUUGGUUCAGUUGUUAGAGAUGGUUGCCAUUGUCUUGUUAAUAGAUUUGAAAUUUUCUGUUGAUUUUUGAUAGAUUUUUAAGAAAAUCUUUAUGAUAAUAUGGCAGUUGAUUUGUACAUAAAUUUAUUUUUUCAUUGCUUUCACAUUUUUUAUAAAUAAAGAAGACAGUUGUGCUAUUCAUCGUUAUAGAAGUCACGUGACAUUCUGUGAACUUUGUCAUCCUUUUUCGUGUAGCGAAUAUCGUAGUUUUUCAACAGUCAUAAGUUGAAGAAUUUUCUCUUGUUGUGAAUACAUUAAGAUAUGUAUUAUGUUCACUGUGCUAAGUGUACAGGAAAAAGCACAAAUAAAUCUUUCCUUCAACUGA